rnacentral:rRNA from 1 species
UACGGGGGGGGCAAGCGUUGUUCGGAAUUACUGGGCGUAAAGGGCGCGUAGGCGGCCUUCUAAGUCGGACGUGAAAUCCCUCGGCUUAACCGAGGAACUGCGUCCGAUACUGAAAGGCUUGAAUCCGGGAGAGGGAUGUGGAAUUCCAGGUGUAGCGGUGAAAUGCGUAGAUAUCGAGAGGAACACCUGCGGCGAAGGCGGGUUGCUGGGCUGACACUGACGCUGAUGCGCGAAAGCCAGGGGAGCGAACGGG